CCGGAGCCGCCCGCUGUUGGAGCCGCUGCAGGUCGCGUCGGAGCCGCCGCGGGUCGCCAGCGCCCUUCGCCGUAGUUCGCCGUUAGCGUCAGAUCAAUCUCUGUUUUGGGGAUGAUGAAGCACAUUAAGGAAUAAGAGGCAUAUGAGGUUCUGAUGUAGCCGGGUUCGCCGUUACCGCCGAAUUGGGACUGCUCAAUUGGUUCUGGACAAUACAACAAAAGAAAUGUGCAUAUUGUCCACAUCUGCAGGUUGUUAAUUCAUCAAAGGCGGCUACUAAGUAUACAUACCGUGUUCAUCUCGCCUGCCUUCUUAGGAAAAAUCCUAUACUCAAGAUGCUCACCGAAUUGCGGAGAAUGGCUCAUUUUUCAGCCCAAUUCUGACACAUACCGUACCAGGCCAAAGUAUUUUCCUUUUAGAUUAUUAUUCCACAGCUCCAUAAUGCCCAUCAUCAGUAUCAUCUGAAGGGGCGACAUACCCAAUUCUUGGAUUCCUCAAGCAACAGAUGUAGUGUUGUCAAUCUCUGAAGAUGCGAAUCCGUCUGCUCGUAGACAACGACAGAGGGAUGAUUGGGAUACUAAAAGCCACAAUGUAUCGAGGCUUAGUGGAGUCAGUCACCAGCCUCUCCGUUGUUUGAACAACUGAACAACAACAUCAAGCGGCGCCAAAACAUAUUGCUGAUCUAAGAGACAUCCGAGACAUGAAUGAGGAAAAAAUGAGAAGGUCGGCCAUUGUUGGCUCAAGCUCAGGAGGUGGUCGAAAGCCUGGCUCCACAUGGUCCUAGCACUACUGUCACACAUGGUGUUCGGGCCACUUCCACCAGUGCUCUGCGGGUUGUCGUUCCGCGAGAGCAAUGACGGGGAGAACAAGAUGAUGCGGUGCUUUGCUCGCCUGCAUUGCGCUGCUUGCGCUCGGGACGUGCAUGUCUACAGAAGAGCCAUGACAUACUUCAAGACUCUAAUUUAUUACCUGACCAUCGCCGCGAGCUUGUCCGGGAUAUCGUACGUUGCCGAUGUGCUGAUCACGAGGCUUCUCAAACACUUUGGCACCAUCGAUCUAGGUGGUGCAUUGGCUCCUCAUGCUUCUCUAGGCCUGUUGUUCUCUCAUUUAGGUCAUGCACAUACGUCUGCCUAGGCCUCGCUCUGAAUGCUUAAGAGGCUGUUUGGUUUGUGACUAACUUUGCCAAAGAUUGCCACACCUAAGGUUAGGCAAGUUUGGCCAACUUAGGUGAGUGUUUGGUUCAAGCCACACCUUAGGCAAG